UGGAUAUAAUCAAAAUAAAGAAAAAAAAAUAAUCGCUUUGUAUCUCGAGGCGAAUCCAACGCGCUCUCUCCACGAGAUUAUUUCUGAUCAUUUAUAAAUUUUAAUCAGUCCAGAAAUAUUUAAAUCGUUUGAAUUUGAAAGGAUCUGAACCUGGCUGCGAGUAGUCUCUCAUUAGCGCCGCCGUAUGGCGUGAACGUAGCGAGCGGAGCGAGCGGAUCGAGUUAACGCGCCGCUUUUGUUUUCUCGCAAGAGAGAAAAAUGUUAACCGCCGUUUCUUACACCUAUCGGAUCGCUCGUGAUUUUACCAGUUUUUAGUGCAAUUUUCCUCAGUUCUCGUACUCGUGAGUGUGAUUAUUUCGCGUACCUGUUACAUUUUCGCAAUCCCGACAUCCGUUCGUUGUGUUUGUUAUCGUUCGCGGCGUGUAUACCGUGUGCUGGGUCAUGCUUGUUCGUUUUUUCAUCCGUCCGGGCCGUCCGCCAUUUUGAUGAGCGUGCACAAUUUUCACGGAGGUGAUCGCGUACGUACGCACUUAUCAUUUUGGCCUGGUACUCGAAGGAAGUUCAUCUGCGAAUAUCUCGGCAAGGAAAAUCAUUCCAGUGGCGUAUCAUACGGAUGAUAAAAAAUUCAGGCAGCGGUGGAGCUCGCGGCAAACAGCAGCAGCGUCAAAGUAUUGAUCGCGGGCACCGGAAGACCGAGUGACAGACGCCAAUGCGGGCUAUUUAAACGUCAAUUGGGUCAGCCUAGAGUCGAACGCGGAAUCUAUACCGCAGCUGUGUGGAGAGUCCGGAGAGGAACAAAAAGGAAACAAAAGCAAAGGGAACGAAAUCGAGAGAAAAAAGGAGGGCACAAAAUG
rnacentral:misc_RNA from 1 species